GAAUUCAGAUAUUAGUGCCUAAAUUUAAAAUUUUUAAAAUUGAGUGACCAAAACAGGAAUGCAUGCAUAGUUGGGUGACCAUUUUGCCUAGUUCACUAAAAUUUUAAUCAGACCCCCAAUUGUUUUUAAAAAUGUUCUCAUUAAACUCCUAAAAAAUUUGAAAAUUUUACUAGACUCCCCACAAUUUAGUCCCAAGAUUUGC
rnacentral:lncRNA from 1 species